CAGUAGCCGCGGUAAUACAGAGGGUGCGAGCGUUAAUCGGAUUUACUGGGCGUAAAGCGUGCGUAGGCGGCUUCUUAAGUCGGAUGUGAAAUCCCUGAGCUUAACUUAGGAAUUGCAUUCGAUACUGGGAAGCUAGAGUAUGGGAGAGGAUGGUAGAAUUCCAGGUGUAGCGGUGAAAUGCGUAGAGAUCUGGAGGAAUACCGAUGGCGAAGGCAGCCAUCUGGCCUAAUACUGACGCUGAGGUACGAAAGCAUGGGGAGCAAACAGGAUUAGAUACCCCGGUAGUCCCUGUCUCUUUACA
rnacentral:rRNA from 1 species